rnacentral:rRNA from 1 species
GACGAACGCUGGCGGCGUGCUUAACACAUGCAAGUCGAACGAAGUGGCGAACGGGUGAGUAAUACGUGGGUAACCUGCCCUCCUUUUUGGGAUAAGCCUUGGAAACGGGGUCUAAUACCGAAUAAAGGGGGAUGGGCUCGCGGCCUAUCAGCUUGUUGGUGGGGUGAUGGCCUACCAAGGCGGUGACGGGUAGCCGGCCUGAGAGGGUGACCGGCCACAUUGGGACUGAGAUACGGCCCAGACUCCUACGGGAGGCAGCAGUGGGGGAUAUUGCACAAUGGACGAAAGCCUGAUGCAGCGACGCCGCGGGAUUUAGAAGGCCUUCGGGUUGUAAAAAUCUUUCAGUACCGUAAGAAUAAGGUCCGGCUAAAUACGUGCCAGCAGCCGCGGUAAUUC